rnacentral:rRNA from 1 species
GCGCAACCCUCACCCCUUGUUGCCAUCAGGGUAAUGGCUGGGCACUCUAGGGGAACUGCCCCGGUCAACGGGGAGGAAGGCGGGGACGACGUCAAGUCAUCAUGCCCUUACGCCCUGGGCUACACACGUGCUACAAUGGCCGGUACAAAGGGAUGCGAGACCGCGAGGUGGAGCCAAACCCAAAAAACCGGUCUAAGUUCAGAUUGGAGUCUGCAACUCGACUCCAUGAAGGAGGAAUCGCUAGUAAUCGUGUAUCAGAACGACGCGGUGAAUACGUUCCCGGGCCUU